CCUUGUCAAACGAAACGUCACCUGUGGUGCUGGAGAAGGGCUUGGGACCCAAACGUGGCUGUGGAAAAAUGAUAACCACGUAAUAAUUCGCAGAAAUACCAACUGAGACAAACUACAAAUAGUCUGAAUAUACAACGGAUAUCGUAAACAACUGAAAAUGUGCCAAUAAGAAAACAAAACGAAAUGCUAUCAACUGAAAACAUAAUCUCUAGGUGUUUCACAAGAAAACCAAACGCAAACCAACUGCAAAUAAAGUAAAACAAACGUAGAGCACUGAAAUAUGAAUCGGAAGAUGUCGCGACUUUGGUAACAGCAAUUGCCGUCUCAAUACCCGGCAAAAAUGGAAAAAAAUUACCUGAGUUCAACAAAAAAUAAGGAAAAUACAUUAAAACUGUACUUAAAAGUAUAAUAAUCAGCUCAACGAUAUAAUACACAAACAACAAACAAA